CAGUAGCCGCGGUAAUACGUAUGUCACAAGCGUUAUCCGGAUUUAUUGGGCGUAAAGCGCGUCUAGGUGGUUAUGUAAGUCUGAUGUGAAAAUGCAGGGCUCAACUCUGUAUUGCGUUGGAAACUGUGUAACUAGAGUACUGGAGAGGUAAGCGGAACUACAAGUGUAGAGGUGAAAUUCGUAGAUAUUUGUAGGAAUGCCGAUGGGGAAGCCAGCUUACUGGACAGAUACUGACGCUAAAGCGCGAAAGCGUGGGUAGCAAACAGGAUUAGAUACCCGCGUAGUCCCUGUCUCUUAUACA
rnacentral:rRNA from 1 species